CCGCGGGAUUAGAGUUUGAUCCUGGCUCAGAGCGAACGCUGGCGGCAUGCUUAACACAUGCAAGUCGCACGGGCAGGGGUAACCCUGUCAGUGGCGGACGGGUGAGUAACGCGUAGGUAUCUAUCCUUGGGUGGGGGACAACUGUGGGAAACUACAGCUAAUACCGCAUGAUAACUGAGGUUUAAAGGCGCAAGUCGCCUGAGGAGGAGCCUGCGUACGAUUAGCUAGUUGGUGGGGUAAAGGCCUACCAAGGCUGUGAUCGUUAGCUGGUCUGAGAGGAUGAUCAGCCACAUUGGGACUGAGACACGGCCCAAACUCCUACGGGAGGCAGCAGUGGGGAAUAUUGGACAAUGGGCGAAAGCCUGAUCCAGCAAUGCCGCGUGUGUGAAGAAGGUCUUCGGAUUGUAAAGCACUUUCGACGGGGACGAUGAUGACGGUACCCGUAGAAGAAGCCCCGGCUAACUUCGUGCCAGCAGCCGCGGUAAUACGAAGGGGGCUAGCGUUGCUCGGAAUGACUGGGCGUAAAGGGCGCGUAGGCGGAUGGCACAGUCAGAUGUGAAAUUCCCGGGCUUAACCUGGGGGCUGCAUUUGAUACGUGUUGUCUAGAGUGAGGAAGAGGGUUGUGGAAUUCCCAGUGUAGAGGUGAAAUUCGUAGAUAUUGGGAAGAACACCGGUGGCGAAGGCGGCAACCUGGUCCUUGACUGACGCUGAGGCGCGAAAGCGUGGGGAGCAAACAGGAUUAGAUACCCUGGUAGUCCACGCUGUAAACGAUGUGUGCUGGAUGUUGGGCGACCUAGUCGCUCAGUGUCGUAGCUAACGCGAUAAGCACACCGCCUGGGGAGUACGGC
rnacentral:rRNA from 1 species